rnacentral:lncRNA from 1 species
GGUAUACUGUUUGUAUUUUAUUUUGUUUUACCUUUAUGUUAUAUUGAAAAGGUCGAAAUAAGAAAGAAAAGGAGGAUGAUAAAUAAUAAAUAAAUGUGCAAUACAAGGGAAUGAGUGGAUGUGGAGAAAUACAGGCAUAGAAAUGUAAUAGUAAUAAUCAUUAUGGGAUGAGAUUAAGAUUUGUUGUAGGUCAGUCAGUCUCAGGAUAAAGAAAGUGAUUGGAUGGAAUAAUAAGGGAGGAGGAAGCAAUGAAUGCAUUAGAAUUGAGGAGAGAGAGUGAGAGAGAUGGAUGGAUGGAUAGAUAG